ACCUGGGUGGCUCAGUCGGUUAAGCGUCCGACUUCAGCUCAGGUCAUGAUCUCGCAGUUUGUGAGUUCAAGCCCCACCUCGGGCU
rnacentral:tRNA from 1 species